UCCGGCGUAGCUCAGCGGUAGAGCAACGGACUGUUAAUCCGUGGGUCGUUGGUUCGAUCCCAACCGCCGGAGCCA
rnacentral:tRNA from 1 species